rnacentral:rRNA from 1 species
GACGAACGCUGGCGGCGUGCUUAACACAUGCAAGUCGAACGGAAAGGCCCUGCUUGCAGGGUACUCGAGUGGCGAACGGGUGAGUAACACGUGGGUGAUCUGCCCUGCACUUCGGGAUAAGCCUGGGAAACUGGGUCUAAUACCGGAUAGGAGCCAUUUUUAGUGUGAUGGUUGGAAAGUUUUUUCGGUGUAGGAUGAGCUCGCGGCCUAUCAGCUUGUUGGUGGGGUAAUGGCCUACCAAGGCGGCGACGGGUAGCCGGCCUGGGAGGGUGGACGGCCACAUUGGGGCUGAGAUACGGCCCAGACUCCUACGGGAGGCAGCAGUGGGGAAUAUUGCACAAUGGGCGCAAGCCUGAUGCAGCGACGCCGCGGGGGGGAUGACGGCCUUCGGGUUGUAAACUCCGUUCGCUAGGGACGAAGCUUUUUGUGACGGUACCUAGAGAAGAAGCACCGGCUAACUACGUG